UCAAUGGACAUGAGUUUGAGUAAACUCUGGGAGUUGGCGAUGGAUAGGGAGGCUUGGUGUACUGCAGUCCAUGGGGUCGCAAAGAGUGACUGAGCAACUGAACUGAACUGAUAGUUUGGGGUUUUCUCAGUGAGUCGGUAAAGAAUCCGCCUGCCAAUGCAGGAGACAAAGGAGAAACUCGGGUUCCAUCCCUGGGUCGGGAAGAUUCCCCUGGAAAAAGGAAUGGCAACCCACUCCAGUAUUCUUGCCNNNNNNNNNNCAUGGACAGAGGAGCCUGGUGGGCUACAGUCCAUGGGGCCCCAAAGAGUCGGACAUGACCGAGCAUGCACGCACUGAUGAUUUUAAGUAGGUAAGUGGUGUGAUUGGAUCGAGGUAAUCAUGGGAGUAAUAGGUAAUAUUUAUUGGACAUUUAGCAAAAGCCAAGCCCUGUGUCUAGCAGUUUGCUGGGUUAUCCCACUUCAGUGAUCUGUGAGGGAGACUCCCUUGUGCUCACUUUACAGCUGAAGAAGGGAAGAGGGUACAUGUCUGCAAAGGUAGACCUGGGGUUUGUGCCCCACCCAGGUGGUGCGUCUCCCUUAUAGCAAAGCCAGUGCAGCAGUAGCCGGGGAGCCAGGGCCGCUGCAAGGAGCGAGGCUGCUCUGGGACCACGUGGCUCUAGCAGUCGGGGACCAGCAGGAGCUGGAGUGGUGGGUGAGCGGACCUGAGAAGACGGGUAUCACAUCCAGGGUCUGAAUCGACUUUUUGUUAUUAGGAAACCUCUCAAGCAUACACCAGAAAGGAAGGGCAUUAUAUAAUCAAUGCCCUUUACUCAUCAUCCACCUAAAACAAUUAAUCUUGCUACAUUUUCAUUGUUCAGUCACUAAGUCCUGUCCGACUCUUUGCAACUCCACGGACUACAUUUUCAUAUCCCCUCUUUUAAUGACACAGCCAGGACAUGUCAUUUCAUCCCGACACACUUGAAAAAGCAUUUUCCUACAGAACCUCAGUGCCUUAUCACAGUCACGAAAAUAAACAGUACUUCAUCCAGUACCUGUCCGGAUUUCCCCACUUUCAAACAAUGUCUUUUUACAGUUAGCCUGUUUGGUUCAUCAGCCAUCACAUCUCAGCUAGAGCAGCUCUGUCAGCUCUUCUUUUUCCCCACAACUGCUCCAGUUUCAGAAGAAAAUGGCACAAUGACUUGGGUGCAGAGUCUUAACCACUGGAUUGCCAGAGAAGUCCCUUUUCUACCUGUUCUGAUGGGCCAGGAUGGAGCCAUUGACCUGGCAAUUGUUCAGACACUGAUAAACCCUAGAUGGAGGGCGUGUGCCUGAGUUUGUAUAAUACACAGAUGUCUGGACCCCAAUUCUGGCUUGGGGAAUCAGAUCGGCAGGGUUACUGGAUCUGAUUUUAGAAGCUUCCAAAUACGCACGUUUCAUGUGAAAUGUAGGCAGAACAGGUCUUAUGACCUCUGUCACGAAAUAAAGGAAGUGGAGAGAGAUCAGAGGACUAAAUAAUUUGCCCAGAGCUACACAGUAAACUGAGAAACCAGAACAGGAACUUGGACCCAGUGUUCUUUCCACCAGCACCUCCCAAGAUGUGUUGGCAGAAUGCUCAUGAAGGAGACUGACACAGGCUCU
ensembl:lncRNA